rnacentral:rRNA from 1 species
UACGUAGGGGGCGAGCGUUGUCCGGAUUUAUUGGGCGUAAAGAGCGUGUAGGCGGCUAGAUAGGUCCGUUGUGAAAACUCGAGGCUCAACCUCGAGACGUCGGCGGAAACCAUCUGGCUAGAGUCCGGAAGAGGAGAGUGGAAUUCCUGGUGUAGCGGUGAAAUGCGCAGAUAUCAGGAAGAACACCCGUGGCGAAAGCGGCUCUCUGGGACGGUACUGACGCUGAGACGCGAAAGCGUGGGGAGCGAACAGG